rnacentral:rRNA from 1 species
CCUACGGGGGGCAGCAGUGGGGAAUAUUGGACAAUGGGGGGAACCCUGAUCCAGCCAUGCCGCGUGUGUGAAGAAGGCCCUCGGGUUGUAAAGCACUUUCAGUGAGGAAGAACGCCUGGUGGUUAAUACCCAUCAGGAAAGACAUCACUCACAGAAGAAGCACCGGCUAACUCCGUGCCAGCAGCCGCGGUAAUACGGAGGGUGCGAGCGUUAAUCGGAAUUACUGGGCGUAAAGCGCGCGUAGGUGGCUUGAUAAGCCGGUUGUGAAAGCCCCGGGCUCAACCUGGGAACGGCAUCCGGAACUGCCAAGCUAGAUUCAAGGAGAGGAAGGUAGAAUUCCGGUGUAGCGGUGAAAUGCGUAGAGAUCGGGAGGAAUACCAGUGGCGAAGGCGGCCUUCUGGACUGACACUGACACUGAGGUGCGAAAGCGUGGGUAGCAAACAGGAUUAGAUACCCGAGUAGUC